rnacentral:rRNA from 1 species
UUGCCUACGGGAGGCAGCAGUGAGGAAUAUUGGUCAAUGGGCGAGAGCCUGAACCAGCCAAGUCGCGUGAAGGAUGACGGCCCUACGGGUUGUAAACUUCUUUUGUCAGGGAGCAAUUGGGUCCACGUGUGGGCUUAGCGAGAGUACCUGAAGAAAAAGCAUCGGCUAACUCCGUGCCAGCAGCCGCGGUAAUACGGAGGAUGCGAGCGUUAUCCGGAUUUAUUGGGUUUAAAGGGAGCGUAGGCGGACCGUUAAGUCAGCGGUAAAAUUGCGGGGCUCAACCCCGUCGAGCCGUUGAAACUGGG